rnacentral:lncRNA from 1 species
CUUAGUCAAGUUGUAAGUGCUAGCACCAGAUGGACACAAAUCAUUCUCAUGAGGAGAAUCAAUUUAGUCGUCUAAAGGAUCAACUAGUGCUUGUGUACCUACAACAAGAGUUUGGUCCUCACGUGACCUAACAAUAUCAAGAGUAUCACAAAAUGAAGACUCAUGCUCUCCUACACUAGGUAAAAUCGCAACUACGUUCAUAUGGAUGUAGGGGAUAAUAUUUUUAC